ACAAAAUAUAAAUCAAAAGUAAACAAAGAAAAAAGAUGAAUAAAAGAACAAGUAGUAGUGUUGCGUAUGUCGCUGGUUUCAUCACUCGUGUGAUGCUCUUGUUGUUGUUUUUUACAGGAAUAUCAAUGGGUGCAUGUGAGAAGAGAGAUACAACUAGAGUGCCGCCUGGGACUUGUAAUAAACCUAACGGCGCUUCAUUAUGUCAGCGAGGUUGCUAUAACAGAGGGGUGGAGAGUUAUCUGUACGGCACAUGUGUGACUACGCCGAAAGGAAAAGUUUGCACAUGUCAUUACUGCAAACCACUUUAAGACCAUAUAAUCAAAAAGUUUUUAUAUUAAUUUACUUUAAAAUAAUUAUAUGUCUAAAUUAUUUCAAUCACAAUUAAAGUAAAUAAAUGAUUGAUUUUGGAAAAUA